rnacentral:rRNA from 1 species
GUUUGAUCAUGGCUCAGAAUCAACGCUGGCGGCGUGCCUCAGACAUGCAAGUCGAACGAUUAAAGCUCUCUUCGGAGAGUGUAUAGAGUGGCGCACGGGUGAGUAACACGUAAGUAAUCUACCCUCGAGUGGGGAAUAACAACCGGAAACGGUUGCUAAUACCGCAUAAUGCAGCGGCACCGCAAGGUGACAGUUGUUAAAGAUUUAUCGCUUGAGGAGGAGCUUGCGGCAGAUUAGCUAGUUGGUAGGGUAACGGCUUACCAAGGCUACGAUCUGUAACCGGUCUAAGAGGACGGUCGGUCACACUGACACUGAAUAACGGGUCAGACUCCUACGGGAGGCAGCAGUCGGGAAUUUUGGGCAAUGGGCGAAAGCCUGACCCAGCAACGCCGCGUGAAGGAUGAAGUAUUUCGGUAUGUAAACUUCGAAAGAAUAGGAAGAAUUAAUGACGGUACUAUUUAUAAGGUCCGGCUAACUACGUG